rnacentral:misc_RNA from 1 species
GUGAAUCAUCAAAUUUUUGAACGCAAAUUGCACUCUCUGGUAUUCCGGAGAGUAUGCCUGUUUGAGGGUCAGUUUAAUUAAAAAUCGGUGUGGUUGCCGCCUUUCGUGGUGACGCACCGGAUUUGGGUCGUCUUGCUUUCGGUUAAGUGACUUAAAAUUUUGCAUGAAUUUUUUCGAACGUAUUUAAAUGUUUAUAUGUACAUUUGCGAUAUCGACUACUUGGUUUGGUCAUCCCCA